rnacentral:rRNA from 1 species
GACCAAGGGUUCCUGUCCAACGUUAAUCGGGGCAGGGUGAGUCGACCCCUAAGGCGAGGCCGAAAGGCGUAGUCGAUGGGAAACGGGUUAAUAUUCCCGUACUUGGUGUUACUGCGAAGGGGGGACGGAGAAGGCUAUGUUGGCCGGGCGACGGUAGUCCCGGUUUAAGCGUGUAGGUGUGUGUUCCAGGUAAAUCCGGUUCACUUUAACACUGAGGCGUGAUGACGAGGCACCACGGUGCUGAAGCAACAAAUGCCCUGCUUCCAGGAAAAGCCUCUAAGCAUCAGGUAACAUCAAAUCGUACCCCAAACCGACACAGGUGGUCAGGUAGAGAAUACCAAGGCGCUUGAGAGAACUCGGGUGAAGGAACUAGGCAAAAUGGUGCCGUAACUUCGGGAGAAGGCACGCUGACAC